GUUUGAGCUUAUCCGCCAACACCUCCUAGGAGACUUCACCUUCACAGAUUCCUUCAUUUCUUAUCUCAAUUUCCAAUUCCAACCAGUUAAGCCAAAGCACUCAUCCCUCUCUGAAUCAGGGCCCAGCUCCCUCAUUUCAAACCCUAAUCACCAAAGCCCUCAAUUAUCAAAUUCCAAAACGAAACUCGAAACCGUAAACUUACCAUCAAAGGCCGAACCUUUUUUUAUGGUAUUUUUUCUAGGCUGUGGUUAUUGUUCGUGACAUAGCUGCCUGUUUGGUUUCCAGGAAAAUUUUGGUUUUUCUCUCACUUUCCUGGAAUGGUUGCUAUGCCCAGCACUCUCAUUUCUUCGCUGCCUUGAGCUAUCAUCUCCUCAUGAUCCCAUUUGUUUGCCGAAGCUUGGUUGUUGAUUUUUCUGGAUUUUGGAGAUGAAGAUAAAGCCAUGGUUGCUACAGUUUUAGGAACCAGAGCUUUCGAUUACUUGAUUUCGAGCUCGGUUUGCAGAAGAGGAAAUGAGGGUUUGGUGGGUUGGUGCAGAGGAGAGAAUGGAGGGAUAAGAGAGAGGAGCGAGGAGAGAAGGGAGGGUGGUGCAGGUU
rnacentral:sRNA from 1 species